rnacentral:rRNA from 1 species
CUUACACGACCGUACCGCAAACCGACACUGGUGCGCGAGAUGAGUAUUCUAAGGCGCUUGAGAGAACUCAGGAGAAGGAACUCGGCAAAUUGACACCGUAACUUCGGAAGAAGGUGUGCCUUUAGUAGGUGAACCUGUACAAGGGGAGCCCAAUGAGGUUGCAAAAAAUCGGUGGCUGCGACUGUUUAAUAAAAACACAGCACUCUGCAAACACGAAAGUGGACGUAUAGGGUGUGACGCCUGCCCGGUGCUGGAAGAUUAAAUGAUGGGGUGCAAGCUCUUGAUUGAAGUCCCAGUAAACGGCGGCCGUAACAAUAACGGUCCUAAGGUAGCGAAAUUCCUUGUCGGGUAAGUUCCGACCUGCACGAAUGGCGUAACGAUGGCCACACUGUCUCCUCCUGAGACUCAGCGAAGUUGAAAUGUUUGUGAUGAUGCAAUCUCCCCGCGGAAAGACGGAAAGACCCCAUGAACCUUUACUGUAGCUUUGUAUUGGACUUUGAACAGAUCUGUGUAGGAUAGGUGGGAGGCUUUGAAGUGUGGUCGCUAGAUCGCAUGGAGCCAACGUUGAAAUACCACCCUGGUGUGUUUGAGGUUCUAACCUAGGCCCGUAAUCCGGGUCGGGGACAGUGCAUGGUAGGCAGUUUGACUGGGGCGGUCUCCUCCCAAAGCGUAACGGAGGAGUUCGAAGGUACGCUAGGUACGGUCGGACAUCGUGCUAAUAGUGCAAUGGCAUAAGCGUGCUUAACUGCGAGACUGACAAGUCGAGCAGAUGCGAAAGCAGGACAUAGUGAUCCGGUGGUUCUGUAUGGAAGGGCCAUCGCUCAACGGAUAAAAGGUACUCUGGAUAACAGGCUGAUACCGCCCAAGAGUUCAUAUCGACGGCGGUGUUUGGCACCUCGAUGUCGGCUCAUCUCAUCCUGGGGCUGUAGCCGGUCCCAAGGGUAUGGCUGUUCGCCAUUUAAAGAGGUACGUGAGCUGGGUUUAAAACGUCGUGAGACAGUUUGGUCCCUAUCUUCCGUGGGCGCUGCAGAUUUGAGGAAGCCUGCUCCUAGUACGAGAGGACCGGAGUGGACACACCUCUGGUGUAUCGGUUGUCACGCCAGUGGCAUUGCCGAGUAGCUAUGUGUGGAAGAGAUAACCGCUGAAAGCAUCUAAGCGGGAAACUCGUUUCAAGAUGAGAUCUGCCGGGGCCUUGAGCCCCCUAAAGAGUCGUUCAAGACCAGGACGUUGAUAGGUCGGGUGUGGAAGCGCAGUAAUGCGUUAAGCUAACCGAUACUAAUUGCUCGUGCGGCUUGACCA